CUGCAUAAUUGUGGUAGUAACAGAGGGUUCGGAUCCCGGCUCAGAUUGAACGCUGGCGGGAUGCUUUACACAUGCAAGUCGAAUGGCAGCACGGACUUCGGUCUGGUGGCGAGUGGCGAACGGGUGAGUAGUCGUAUCGGAACGUGCCUAGUAGCGGGGGAUAAUCACGCUGGUGCUGCAGCUAAUAUAUCGCAUAGCCCUUCGGGGGAAAGCGGGGACCUUCGGGCCUCGCACUAUUAGGAGCGCCGAUAUCGGAUUAGCUAGUUGCGGGCAACGGCUCACUACAGCGACGAUCCGUAGCUGGUUUGAGAGGACGACCAGCCACACUGGGACUGGAGAUAUGGCCCAGACUCUACGGAGGCAAGCAGGGGGAAUUUUGGACAAUGGGGAAACCCUGAUCCAGCCAUCCCGCGCAGUGAUGAAGGCCUUCGGGUUGUGGAAGCACUUUUGGCAGGAAAGAAAUCGGCACGGGAUAAUACCCCGUGCAACUGACGGUACCUGCAGAAUAAGCAAUCAUAACCACGUCACAGCCCAAUACGUAGGGUAAAGCGUUAAUCGGAAUUACUGGGCAAAGCGUGCGCAGGCGGUUCGGAAAGAAAGAUGAAAUCCUUGCAGUUUAACUUCUUGAAUCCGCAUUUUCAACUACCGAGCUAGGAGUGGUCGAGGGAGGUGGGAAUUCCGCGUGUAGCAGUGAAAUGCGUAGAUAUGCGGAGGAACACCGAUGGCGUAAUGUUCUGGGAUAGCACCGACGCUCAUGCACGAAAGCGUGGGGAGCAAACAGGAUUAGAUACCCUGAGUAGUCCACGCCCUAAACGAUGUCAACUAGCUGUUAGCCUUGGCCUGUAGCAGCUAACGCGUGAAGUUGACCAAUUGGGAGUACGGUCGCAAGAUUAAACUCAAAGGAAUUGACGGGGACCCGCACAAGCGGUGGAUGAUGUGGAUUAAUUCGAUGCAAACGAAAACCUUACCUACCCUUGACAUUGUUCGGAAUUCCGAAGAGAUUUGGGAGUGCUCGCAAGAGAACCGAACACAGGUGCUGGUACGGCUGUCGUCAGCUCGUGUCGUGAGAUGUUGGGUUAAGUCCCGCAACGAGCGCAACUCCUUGUCAUUAGUUACGCCGAAAGGGCACUCCAAUGAGACUGCCGGUGAUAAAACCGAGGAAGGUGGGGAUGACGUCAAGUCCUCAUGGCCCUUGCGGUAGGGCUUCACACGUCAUACAACACCGGGACAGACAUCGCCAACCCGCGAGGGGGAGCCAAUCCCAGAAACCUGAUCGUAGUCCGGAUCGCAGUCUGCAACUCGACUGCGUGAAGUCGGAAUCGCUAGUAAUCGCGGGAUCAGCAUGUCGCGGUGAAUACGUUCCCGGGUCUUGUACAUACACUGCCUGUCACACCAUGGGAGUGUGGUUUACCAGAAGUAGUUAGCCUAACCGUAAGGAGGGCGAUUAAUAAUGGUAGGAUUCAUGACUGGGGUGAAGUCGUAACGAAGGCAA
rnacentral:rRNA from 1 species